rnacentral:misc_RNA from 1 species
GUAUGUGAACCUGCGGAAGGAUCAUUAACACGUUCCAUAGCCUAAUCAACCAACCUGUGAACUUGUAUUCGGCUGUAUGUAGACAUCUGUCUCUCAGAUAGAUGUAUAUCAUUUCAGCCCCACCUCCAUAAAUUAUAUGGAGCUAUCAUCUUGUGGGCAUACAUCUGUAUUCCUCUUAUGAUUAGUUUUCUCCAUAUAAUUUUAUGGUAUUUUUUAUUCACGCCCUAGUUUUUCAUUCGGUAACAGGAAU